rnacentral:rRNA from 1 species
GUGGGGAAUCUUGCGCAAUGGGCGAAAGCCUGACGCAGCCAUGCCGCGUGAAUGAUGAAGGUCUUAGGAUUGUAAAAUUCUUUCACCGGGGACGAUAAUGACGGUACCCGGAGAAGAAGCUCCGGCUAACUUCGUGCCAGCAGCCGCGGUAAUACGAAGGGGGCUAGCGUUGCUCGGAAUUACUGGGCGUAAAGGGCGCGUAGGCGGACAGCUUAGUCAGAGGUGAAAGCCCAGGGCUCAACCUUGGAAUUGCCUUUGAUACUGGCUGUCUUGAGUUUGUGAGAGGUGAGUGGAACUCCGAGUGUAGAGGUGAAAUUCGUAGAUAUUCGGAAGAACACCAGUGGCGAAGGCGACUCACUGGCCCAAUACUGACGCUGAGGCGCGAAAGCGUGGGGAGCAAACAGGAUUAGAAACCCGGGUAGUCC